CUGGCAAUCCAGCUGCUUGUUCUGCCUGUGUUUUCUGUCAGAGACUGGCCGUGUGUCACUGCUGCUUUCCUGCAAUGGCUCCUUCUGCACAGUCUCUUGGUCAGUCCCUUUAGUCCCACCAUGCGCUGCUUUCUCCAUUUUCUUCACAGGUUCCUUUAGGACACGGGAUGACCACCAGUAGUACUUCCCUCUUCUAGAUGUAUCCUUUCCUCUACUUCCUCUUUGCGGACCUUAACAGAAUGCAUGAAGUUCAGUCUCCCGUGCUUGAAGUUUUGAAGACCAGCAGUGCGUCAGUGGAAUCAGUGAAGACCAUCUACUCACCCAUGGGAUUCCAACUGGUCUCCAUCGCAGGAAGGAGCCGAGAAACCAGCAAGGCCCUCCCCGGGGGCACUUCUGCAACCAAAGACCCAUGAAAAGUUUCCGUGCACAACGGCAUCACUGAAUAGUGGAGCAUACCAGGGGAUCGUGCAAGGAAAGGGCAUACACGCACAGGACUACGCUCUCACACCUGCAGACAGACCUGGCCGACAUUUGGCCUUUGAGCUGGCAGCUCUCAAAGGAACUAAAAAGCCAUGACAUACCCAUGUGAUCUGCCGGAGUUUCAGUCCUGGAACUCAGAGGGGAAGCUGGAGCACCUUCAUUUCCAGUCACACCUGCAAUCAAACACAGGACAGAGAGACUUUACUUAGACGUUCUUCCAGUCGGAAUGACGGGAUGCAAUUAAGACAGGGGAUUCCUUCGUGACGCUGUUCUCUCCGUUCCACAAAGGAGCAGCUUGGAAACAGAUCCUGGCUGCCCACAGGGGCACUGCCACAGACGCAGCUGUCACCAAGGGCAGAUGAGAAACACGCAGGUCAUGAUUUGCACAGUAGCAGAGUGGCCAGGAGGACCUCUUGGCUGCCACCUGGCAGCUUACAUGAUACGUUCUCCAAGCCACGUGCAAAAACCCUUAUGGACCACACAGAAGAAGAUUCAGCCCUUUGGGACUUUCUUACUGGGGCACCUCUGGUGUACACAAAGGAAGGUCACACCAAAGCACUGGAGGAAAACACACCUGCCUCUUCCUCUGGGCUGUGGGUGGGGGCUCUGUGUUGGAAACCGGGAUUUGUCUACGGGGAGUACCACCAGGCUGGAGCAGAAAUGCUCAUGCUUUUCCCAGCACGCAUCUUGUGAGCUCUCACCCAGGGCAUCUCCCAGGAUGAAGGCCGUGCUCCAGCCAGCAAGCAGCAGAGUCAUGGUCCGGCAUGGUUGGAGCCAGCCCUGGGGAGCAAGCGCUGCCACAAGCUCUUGGCUGGCUCCUGCGGUGCUGCCUGUCACCCUCUGCCUAACGCCCACCAUGGGAGGUAGCCCCAGGGAAGGGUGGUGUAGGGCCAUGGCAACUCAGCCUGACUUCCUGCCCCUCGCGCCGCUCAGCUUUGGAUCCAUCGCUGCCCACUCACCUGCUCCCUGUACUGGAAGCGGAGCAGCACAAAUCUCCCAGGAACGCAGGGACAUCAGUAGCAGGAGGAGGACAAGGCGGGCAGGGGCCGUGGCCCCCCACACUCGUGCCAUGCUGCCACCACCACCGCUGCAGCCACAGCAAGUGCUGCCGUUGGGUCAGGCGCCGAGCAAUGCCUGUGCCAUGGGACAGCAUCACAACUGGGCCUUGUGACAUCACAGCUCUGCACAGCCAUGUAGCGGGGCAUUGUGACCUCACGGCCCCGUGAAGCCGGGUGGAGGCUGCCCGUGAGCCGCUCCUCUUGUGAUGCACUGCACCAGGGCUGGUGGGGCCAGUGCUUACAUCAUAGAAACAUAGAAUCAUGGAAUGGCUUGGGUAGGAAUAGACAUUAAAGAACUUUUACCUCCAACUGCGCUGCUGUGGGCAGGGAUACCGCCCACUGAGUCAGCCUGCCCAGGGCUCCAUCCAGCCUGGCCUUGAACGCUUCCAGAGACCGGGGCAUCCACAACUUCGCUUGGCAAACUUUUAUAGUGCCUUGACAACCCCGAGAGGGAAUUAUUACUCUAAUAUUAUUAUAUUAUUAUUAUUACUCUGCGUGUGUGUGUGUGUGUGUGUGUGUGUGACACAGCCAUGUGUUUGUGUGUCUGUGUGUCUGUUUGUGUGACACAGCCAUGUGUCUGUGUGUCUGUGUCUGACUCUGAGUGUCAGAACCACCAGAACCAACCACAACUACCAGAUCCCUUUCCACAGAGCUCUUCUGCAGCUGCUAUUCUCCCAGACCAUACAUAUGCCCAGCAUUGUCCUGUUCCAGGUGCAGAAUCCUUUCUGGCUCUGGCCUUCCUGUGAGUACGGUGAAGGCAAAGGGGAUGGCUGCUGCAGGUGCUGUAGGCCGCAACCCUGCAUCUCCUCAGCUCUGAGGAACCAAAGCCAAAGCGCACUCUCUCGGGCAGUCUCUCAGUUCUCCAGAUGAAC
ensembl:lncRNA